UAUUUCGUUUUGAUUAUAGCCACCACAAUUUCUUUAUUUCUUUUACAGGUAAGUGAAGUGUUGUUAGUGUAGUGCAAAAUUAACAUAUGUAUGUAUGUAUGAAAUUAAGUGAAAAGUUAAAUGUGAUUGCACAUAUGGAUGGACACACAUUCAUACAGAAAUAUGUUCGUACAUAUAUACAGUGCUGUUGUGCAAAAAGAAAUUAAUUUAAUUACAAUGUAAAAUGUACAUAUGUACGAACAUCAAAAAUCAAAUUAAUUACAUUAAAUAACAAUUAUGUAUGUACGCAACUGAACUUUGCAUAAAUAUUCAAACGGCAUUUAAAUUAUCUUUCCAUUGAUGCCAAAAUAAACAAGAAGUGAGUUCAAAUUGUGGGUAUAUUUAACUUUUGUUUCGUCAUAAUACUUAUGCCGACUAGUGUACACUGAAAAAACAAUUGAAAAACUUUAAAUUCAAAUAUAUCGAUAUUUGUUUUCAUUUUCUAUUGUUUUACUGAGUACAUAGUCUAUUACACGCUUGCUGAGUGUUGCUGUUUAAUGUAAUACAAUUAUAAAUGCAGUAUUUAGUAAAUUAUAUACUUUCUUGAUCAGGAUCACUUUGCGAGUUGAUCUACCCAUCUCCGUUUGUCUGUUUGAUUGCUGUGAUCUCGGAUACUAUAAAAACUAGAACAUUGAGUAUUCCUAUUAAGGUUCCUUAGCUUUCGAUUUAUCGAAAAAUUGUUUUCCAAAUUAGCUACUAACACUCGAACGCCCACAAAAAUGUGUAAAGUGAAAUUAUAAUAUCAAACAAAAACAACUCUUAACGAGGUUAUGAAAAUUCUACAGCUAAACACAGGCAUAUUGAAUAGCAGCGUGGCUAAUGUAAAAAAAUUAAGUAAACGUAUUUAUUAAGUAGAUCGUAUAAUACAUUUUCAUCACAAAAGUUGAUAUCAGAAGUUUUGUUUGCUGUAGAAGCGAUCGUCACCAUAUUUUAACCUCGUUAAGAGGUGUUUUUGUUUGAUAUGUUUUGUAGCUGCAAUAGCAACGAUCUGCAAGAGUGUCCAAACUUCGGCUUCCCGAAGUUAGCUGGCCUUCAUAUUUAAGAUAAUUUUCUAACAUAUUUCUUCCCUUUUUUUGAGAAAAAUGAAUUUUAAUCUUCGCGAAAUGCAAAAUGUGCCAUUGCCAUCUGAGGAGAGUAGGUCUGCGGGGCUGGAUGGACGGAUCCAACGCCUGGAGGAAGUAGUCCGCGCGAUGAGGAGUGAGGUCAACAAAAUGCGGACUGAUAUGGUGGAGUUAAAAGCCUUGAACUCUGCCAUUCUCGACUCCAUGGCGCAAAUGUUGGCUCUCUGGAGAAAAAUGGCACCAGUCGAGCCAAUUCUAAAGGCCGACUUCCCUUCCGGUCGCUAGACCAUUUAAAGGAGGUGGACGAUAAGAUAUACGGAAAUAUGGAAAAAUAUAAUCACAAAAAAGGGAAGGGUAUGCCUUAUGGGACUAUGCAAAACACAUCUGGUUGGCCUUCGUGAGGCAAAAUAAUACAAUUUAUAAAGGAGAAAGCGCCCUAAAGAAGGCCAACCCGGAUCCAGGAGCCGAACCGAGGGAUUCUGAUUCUGAUUGAAAAUAACUAAAUAAAUAAAAAUAUGUAAUUUAAA